AAAAUAUUGUGACCUAGAGAAACU
rnacentral:piRNA from 1 species